CUCACAAAUUUCCCAAACAGCACUGCCUGGGAACCACGACUACACAGAUUCCUGAGCCUGAGGGGGACUCUUCACAUUCAAACCGCCACAGACAAUGAGAAAUGUGAGCAUUAAGACCAGUCCUGGGAGAGAGCAUGCGCGUGUCAAUUUUCAGUGAUGGCCGCGAUCCACAUCUGGAUAAACACUUAGAAAGUGUGUAGCCCAGGUCUUAGACAACCCCUGUAAAAGAGUCAUUCAACCCCGAAGCAGCAGCAGCAAUCCACAGGUUGAGAACUCUGGCCAAGACACCUUAUUUUUCUCUGAGACUGAGUCCUCGGGAUGAUGUGACAGAGGACCAUCAGACUGCAUCCUGCUUCCACCAGGUUCCAGCUGCCAGGGACUGAGAACAUUAGCCUCAUUCUUCUGCACUAGCCAAUAGCCAGCAAAAACAUGACUCACACAGUGUGGAGUAGUAAUUUGGAGGCCCCUGCUGAUGUUCCCACUCUUGGGUUCAUAAAAGAGAAAGAGAUUUAGAGAGUAUGGUAUACGGCGGUGUGGGGGAAGGGGGUGCCCCAGUGGGCAUCUCUUCCCCGGAGAGACCAGACACACACAGAUAUGGUAUGGAGUAGAGUUUAUUCAGGGCAGAGGAUGGGAGUUAAUGGGGUAGUGGAGGCACAGAAAGGCAGAGAGAGGGAGAGAGUGGAGGCUGGCCACCACCACGUAGAGAAAGGGGGAGGGGAGGAGAGC